ACCUGGUUGGCUCAGUCAGUAGAGCAAGUGACUUUUAAUCUCAGGGUAGUGAUUUCAAGCCCCACAUUGGGCA
rnacentral:tRNA from 1 species